UACGUAGGGUGCGAGCGUUGUUCGGAAUUACUGGGCGUAAAGGGCGCGUAGGCGGCCCGCUAAGUCGAACGUGAAAUCCCCAGGCUCAACCUGGGAACUGCGUCCGAUACUGGCAGGCUUGAAUCCGGGAGAGGGAUGUGGAAUUCCAGGUGUAGCGGUGAAAUGCGUGAUAUCUGGAGGAACACCGGUGGCGAAGGCGGCAUCCUGGACCGGUAUUGACGCUGAGGCGCGAAAGCUAGGGGAGCAAACGGG
rnacentral:rRNA from 1 species